rnacentral:rRNA from 1 species
GACGUAGGGGGCGAGCGUUGUCCGGAUUUAUUGGGCGUAAAGCGCGCGUAGGCGGUCCGGUAAGUCGGGGGUGAAAAUCCGGGGCUCAACCCCGGACCUGCAUUCGAUACUGCCGGGCUGGAGGCAGGUAGGGGAGAGUGGAAUUCCUGGUGUAGCGGUGAAAUGCGCAGAUAUCAGGAGGAACACCGGUGGCGAAGGCGGGUCUCUGGGCCGAUACUGACGCUGAGGAGCGAAAGCGUGGGGAGCGAACAGG